rfam:Triticum aestivum genome assembly, contig: Triticum_aestivum_CS42_TGACv1_scaffold_570972_7AS
AAUAUACUCCCUCCGUUCCGAAUUACUCGUCGCAGAAAUGGAUGUAUCUAGAUGUAUUUUAGUUCUAGAUACAUCCAUUUCUGCGACGAGUAAUUUGGAACGGAGGGAGUAGUUU